AUACGUAGGGUGCGAGCGUUGUCCGGAAUUACUGGGCGUAAAGAGCUCGUAGGUGGUUUGUCGCGUCGUCUGUGAAAUUCCGGGGCUUAACUCCGGGCGUGCAGGCGAUACGGGCAUAACUUGAGUACUGUAGGGGAGACUGGAAUUCCUGGUGUAGCGGUGAAAUGCGCAGAUAUCAGGAGGAACACCGGUGGCGAAGGCGGGUCUCUGGGCAGUAACUGACGCUGAGGGGCGAAAGCAUGGGUAGCGAACAGGAUUAGAUACCCUGGUAGGCCAUGCCGUAAACGGGGGGCGCUAGGUGUAGGGGUCUUCCACGACUUCUGUGCCGUAGCUAACGCAUUAAGCGCCCCGCCUGGGGAGUACGGCCGCAAGGCUAAAACUCAAAUGAAUUGACGGGG
rnacentral:rRNA from 1 species